GAUGAAGAACGUAGCGAAAUGCGAUAAGUAAUGUGAAUUGCAGAAUUCAGUGAAUCAUCGAAUCUUUGAACGCACCUUGCACCCUUUGGCAUUCCGAAGGGUAUGCUCGUUUGAGUGUCAUUGUACUCUCACACUUCUGAUCCUUUGGAUUGGGAGCGGUGGACUUGGGUGUUGCUGCUUUACUGUGGCUCACCUCAAAUGCAUUCGUGCAACUCUUGGUUGGACAUAGUACGGCGUGAUAAGUAUCUUCGCCGACACCUCGCAAGAGGGUGGCUGAUCAGGAGCUCUGUGCUUUCCAACUGUCUUCAGACAACAACUGACAACUUGACCUCAAAUCGAGUAGGACCACCCGCUGAACUUAAGCAUAUCAAUAAGCGGAGGA
rnacentral:misc_RNA from 1 species